GGUGGCUCAGGGGUCAAGCAACUGACUUACAAUCUGCAGGUCUUGGGUUCGAAUCCCACCAUUACCA
rnacentral:tRNA from 1 species